rnacentral:rRNA from 1 species
AACGAACGCUGGCGGCAGGCUUAACACAUGCAAGUCGAACGCUCCGCAAGGAGAGUGGCAGACGGGUGAGUAACACGUGGGAACGUACCCUUUACUACGGAACAACUCCGGGAAACUGGAGCUAAUACCGUAUGUGCCCUUUGGGGGAAAGAUUUAUCGGUAAAGGAUCGGCCCGCGUUGGAUUAGCUAGUUGGUGGGGUAAAGGCCUACCAAGGCGACGAUCCAUAGCUGGUCUGAGAGGGUGAUCAGCCACAUUGGGACUGAGACACGGCCCAAACUCCUACGGGAGGCAGCGGUGGGGAAUAUUGGACAAUGGGCGCAAGCCUGAUCCAGCCAUGCCGCGUGUGUGAUGAAGGCCUUAGGGUUGUAAAGCACUUUCACCGGAGAAGAUAAUGACGGUAUCCGGAGAAGAAGCCCCGGCUAACUUCGUGCCAGCCGCCGCAGUAA